rnacentral:rRNA from 1 species
GACGGAGGAUGCAAGUGUUAUCCGGAAUCACUGGGCAUAAAGCGUCUGUAGGUGGUCAAAUAAGUCAACUGUUAAAUCUUGAGGCUCAACCUCAAAACCGCAGUCGAAACUAUUAGACUAGAGUAUAGUAGGGGUAAAGGGAAUUUCCAGUGGAGCGGUGAAAUGCGUAGAGAUUGGAAAGAACACCGAUGGCGAAGGCACUUUACUGGGCUAUUACUAACACUCAGAGACGAAAGCUAGGGUAGCAAAUGGG